CUCCUGGAAUCCUGGAAGUCUGUACAUACCUUCAGACAAGAUCAGGAAGCAAUGAUUUCACUUCAUGAUUCUGUGUGUGCCUUAUGGAAGAAGAAUAAUUCCAG
rnacentral:lncRNA from 12 species